UACAGAGGGUGCGAGCGUUAAUCGGAAUUACUGGGCGUAAAGCGUGCGUAGACGGUUCUGUAAGUCGGAUGUGAAAUCCCCGGGCUCAACCUGGGAAUUGCAUUCGAGACUGCAAAGCUUGGGUGCGGAAGAGGGAAGCGGAAUUUCCGGUGUAGCGGUGAAAUGCGUUGAUAUCAGGAGGAACACCGGUGGCGAAGGCGGGUCUCUGGGCAGUAACUGACGCUGAGGAGCGAAAGCGUGGGGAGCGAACAGG
rnacentral:rRNA from 1 species